GCCGGGAUGGCGAAAUUGGUAGACGCGACGGACUCAAAAUCCGUUGGGCGAAAGCCCGUGGGGGUUCGAGUCCCCCUCCCGGUA
rnacentral:tRNA from 1 species